GACAAUUUGAUACCACCCCGAAUGUGCCUGAUCUCAUCUGAUCUUGGAAGCUAUGCAGAGUCGGGCCUGGUUAGUACUUGGAAGGGAGACCACAUUAACACUUCUUCAUCAGCUUUGUCC
ensembl:rRNA 5S_rRNA 5S ribosomal RNA